CGGUUUCGAGGAGCGCUGCGACGGUUCACCCGCCAGGCUCGAUUCCGGCGAUGUUUCAACGGCGCUCGUUGACG
rfam:Thiobacillus sp. SCN 65-179 ABT21_C0001, whole genome shotgun sequence.